rnacentral:tRNA from 1 species
GGGUCUGUAGCUUAAUUGGAAAAGCAUCUAGCUGGCUGCUAGAAAGAUGUCAGUUCAAAUCUGACCAGAAUCCACCA